GAAAAUCGUGGUGCCUCGCACCUCGAAUUGUAGUCUGGAGAAGGUCCCUCUGCGACGCGCCGGACCCAAGUUCCCUGGAAAGGGACGUCAUCGAGGGUGACAACCCCGUCCGCGCCCGGAACGCGUCGCUCCACGAGGACCUGUCUGCGAGUCGGGCUGUUUGGGAAUGCAGCCCUAAUCGGGAGGUAAAUUCCUUCCAAGGCUAAAUAUGGGCAAGAGACCGAUAGCGAACAAGUACCGCGAGGGAAAGAUGAAAAGGACUUUGAAAAGAGAGUUAAAAAGUGCUUGAAAUUGCUGGGAGGGAAGCGAAUGGAAGCUGCGGGUGCGGCCCGGUUGGAUGUGGAACGGCUUCGGCUGGUCCGCCGCUCAACGCGGGGCGCUGGUCAGCGUGGGCCAUGGCGCCGGGACAAGAGCAGGGAUUCGCUUCCUGCCUAUGCCGGUGCGGUGGCCGAGGAACGAAGCGCGCGCCUUCUGGCGUGGGUUCGCCCAACUGCGCGCUCGGGACGCUGGCGUAUUGAGCUCUUCAUCCGACCCGUCUUGAAACACGGACCAAGGAGUCUAACAUGUAUGCGAGCCGG
rnacentral:rRNA from 1 species